CGAGCGCUCAGCUGGGCGUCAGUCCUGGAUUUGCCUUUGCAAGGCAGGGGUUAGGGGUUCGAGUCCCCUCGUCUCGA
rnacentral:tRNA from 1 species